rnacentral:rRNA from 1 species
AACGAACGCUGGCGGCAGGCUUCACACAUGCAAGUCGCGCGAUUAAAGCCCCUUCGGGGGUGUAUAAAGCGGCGAACGGGUGAGUAACGGGUGGACAACCUGCCUUUCGGUGGGGGACAACGGCUGGAAACGGCCGCUAAUACCGCAUACGAUCUUCCGGUCUUCGGUCCGGGAGAGGAAAGGGGCUUCUGGCCUCGCCGAGAGAUGGGUCCGCCUCCCAUUAGCUAGUUGGUGAGAUAACAGCUCACCAAGGCGACGAUGGGUAGCCGAGCUGAGAGGUUGAUCGGCCACACUGGAACUGAGACACGGUCCAGACACCUACGGGUGGCAGCAGUGGGGAAUAUUGCACAAUGGGCGAAAGCCUGAUGCAGCCAUGCCGCGUGGAGGAUGAAGGCCUUCGGGUCGUAAACUCCUUUUCUGAGGGAAGAACAUCCGGGGCAGGAAAUGGCCCCGGCUGACGGUACCUC